rnacentral:rRNA from 1 species
UUUGAUCCUGGCUCAGGAUGAACGCUAGCGACAGGCUUACCCCUUGCAAGUCGAGGGGCAUCAUGAGGUAGCAAUACCUUGAUGGCGACCGGCGCACGGGUGAGUAACGCGUAUGCACCCUGCCCGAUACCGGGGUAUAGCCCAUGGAAACGUGGAUUAACACCCCAUAGUACUUUUAUCCUGCAUGGGAUGUGAGUUAAAUGUUCAAGGUAUCGGAUGGGCAUGCGUCCUAUUAGUUAGUUGGCGGGGUAACAGCCCACCAAGACGAUGAUAGGUAGGGGUUCUGAGAGGAAGGUCCCCCACAUUGGAACUGAGACACGGUCCAAACUCCUACGGGAGGCAGCAGUGAGGAAUAUUGGUCAAUGGACGUAAGUCUGAACCGGCCAAGUCGCGUGAGGGAAGACUGCCCUAUGGGUUGUAAACCUCUUUUAUAAGGGAAGAAUAAGUUCUACGUGUAGAAUGAUGCCUGUACCUUAUGAAUAAGCAUCGGCUAACUCCGUGCCAGCAGCCGCGGUAAUACGGAGGAUGCGAGCGUUAUCCGGAUUUAUUGGGUUUAAAGGGUGCGUAGGCGGUUUAUUAAGUUAGUGGUUAAAUAUUUGAGCUAAACUCAAUUGUGCCAUUAAUACUGGGAAACUGGAGUACAGACGAGGUAGGCGGAAUAAGUUAAGUAGCUGUGAAAUGCAUAGAUAUAACUUAGAACUCCGAUAGCGAAGGCAGCUUACCAGACUGUAACUGACGCUGAUGCACGAGAGCGUGGGUAGCGAACAGGAUUAGAUACCCUGGUAGUCCACGCCGUAAACGAUGCUCACUGGUUCUGUGCGAUAUAUUGUACGGGAUUAAGCGAAAGUAUUAAGUGAGCCACCUGGGGAGUACGUCGGCAACGA